UACAGAGGUCCCAAGCGUUGUUCGGAUUCACUGGGCGUGAAGGGUGCGUAGGUGGCCGGGUAAGUCUGACGUGAAAUCUCCAAGCUCAACUUGGAAACUGCGUCGGAUACUAUCCGGCUAGAGGAUCGGAGGGGAGACUGGAAUACUUGGUGUAGCAGUGAAAUGCGUAGAUAUCAAGUGGAACACCAGUGGCGAAGGCGAGUCUCUGGACGAUUCCUGACACUGAGGCACGAAAGCCAGGGGAGCAAACGGG
rnacentral:rRNA from 1 species